GGGGGAACGAUGUUUGCAAAUAAGGUAAACGAGGCUUGCACAAAACGUAUAAGUUGUUUGCACAUAAUGUAAAAGGCAUUUGCACAUGACGUAAUGAAUGCUCACAGAGAGUAUCAAUUGUUCGGCAAAACGCAUAGGAACUAUACCAUGAUGUGUUGUGUUUUUCACUGGAGAUACAUAUGUAUAAACACAACAUAACGCCAAAAAGACUAUAAUAUCAUGAGGUUUACAUAGAACAAAGGUGUAUCAAAACAAAACCUUUAGAACAUUGCGCAUAACAAUCACAUUUGAGACAGGACACAAUUUUUAACUGACUUACGUAAAAGAAGA
rnacentral:lncRNA from 1 species